GAAUAAUUGUUGGAAACGGCAACUAAUACCGUAUACGCCCUACGGGGGAAAAAUUUAUUGCUAUUAGAUGAGCCUAUAUUAGAUUAGUUAGUUGGUGAGGUAAAGGCUUACCAAGACAAUGAUCUAUAGCUGAUCUGAGAGGAUGAUCAGCCACACUGGAACUGAGAUACGGUCCAGACUCCUACGGGAGGCAGCAGUGGGGAAUAUUGGACAAUGGGCGAAAGCCUGAUCCAGCCAUGCCGCAUGAGUGAAGAAGGCCUUCGGGUUGUAAAGCUCUUUUAGUGAGGAAGAUAAUGACGGUACUCACAGAAGAAGUCCUGGCUAACUCCGUGCCAGCAGCCGCGGUAAUACGGAGAGGGCUAGCGUUAUUCGGAAUCAUUGGGCGUAAAGGGCGCGUAGGCGGGUUAGUAAGUUAAAAGUGAAAUCCCAAGGCUCAACCUUGGAACUGCUUUUAAAACUGCUAGUCUAGAGAUUGAAAGAGGAUAGAGGAAUUCCUAGUGUAGAGAUGAAAUUCGUAAAUAUUAGGAGGAACACCAGUGGCGAAGGCGUCUAUCUGGUUCAAAUCUGACGCUGAGGCGCGAAGGCGUGGGGAGCAAACAGGAUUAGAUACCCUGNUAGUCCACGCUGUAAACGAUGAAUGUUAAAUAUGGGAAGUUUACUUUCUGUAUUAUAGCUAACGCGUUAAACAUUCCGCCUGGGG
rnacentral:rRNA from 2 species